rnacentral:rRNA from 1 species
UACGUAGGUGGCAAGCGUUAUCCGGAAUUACUGGGCGUAAAGCGCACGCAGGCGGUCUUGUAAGUUUGGCGUGAAAGCUCUCGGCUUAACUGGGAGAGGUCGCUGAAGACUGCAAGACUUGAGGCAAUGAGAGGGGUGUAGAAUUCCUGGUGUAGUGGUGGAAUGCGUAGAUAUCAGGAGGAAUACCAGUGGCGAAGGCGGGUCUCUGGGCCGUAACUGACGCUGAGGAGCGAAAGCGUGGGGAGCGAACAGG